GGUGUGUCGCACUUAAAACGGUUUCAUAAACCCUUUGAAGAGUUGCUGGGCUUAAUCAUAAACGUUGGACAUAUUAUAUAGGUGGGGUUUCGGACGUGGACACUAAAGAAAUAGGCGAUGCAGUUUCCGGCUUUAGUCAUCUGGACUGAUUGACAGAGGGAGACAAUGUGGCUUAAAAUCAUGGAUGUCUGCAAAGCAGUUUCUGCCCCCUGAGUGAAUGUGGUGUGUCUGUGAAUGAGUCGCCUGCCAGGAGCGUGUACAACUCAUACUUACCUGGCAGGGGAGAUACCAUGAUCAAGAAGGUGGUUCACCCAGGGCGAGGCUUGGCCAUUGCACUCCGGUUGAGCUGACCUCUGCGAAUUCCCCAAAUGUGGGAAUCUCGACUGCAUAAUUUGUGGUAGUGGGGGACUGCGUUCGCGCU